rnacentral:rRNA from 1 species
AACGAACGCUGGCGGCAUGCCUAACACAUGCAAGUCGAACGAGACCUUCGGGUCUAGUGGCGCUCGGGUGCUUAAGACGUGGUAACUUGCCCUUAGGUUCCGAAUAACUCCCCGUAAGGGAAGCUAAUAAAGCAUAAUGUCUUCGCAGCAAAGAUGUAUCGCCUUUGGAUGGGCCCUCGUUGGUUUAGCUAGUUGGUAGGGUAAAAGCCUGCCAAGGCGACGAUCCAGAGCUGGUCUGUGAGGAGGACCAGCCACGCUGGGACUGAGACACGGCCCAGACUGGGACGGAGGGGAGGAGUAGGGUGUAUUGGAGGAGGGGCGAAAGCGUGAUCCAGCAGUGCCGCGUGAGUGAGGAAGGCCUUAGGGUUGCAAAGCUCUCUUACCCGGGAUGAUAAUGACAGUACCGGGAGAAGAAGCACCGGCUAACUCCGUG